rnacentral:tRNA from 1 species
CGGGGUGGAGCAGUUCGGUAGCUCGUCGGGCUCAUAACCCGAAGGUCGCAGGUUCAAAUCCUGCCCCCGGCG